rnacentral:rRNA from 1 species
UACGUAGGUGGCAAGCGUUGUUCGGAAUUAUUGGGCGUAAAGGGCGCGUAGGCGGCUUGUUAAGUCGGCUGUGAAAGCCCGGGCUCAACCCCGGAGGGUCAGCCGAUACUGGCAGGCUAGAGUACGGAAGAGGUAGCUGGAAUUCCCGGUGUAGCGGUGAAAUGCGUAGAGUAUCAGAGGAACACCGGUGGCGAAGGCGCU